UGCCCUCAAACACUUUUCCAGGAUUUCUUGUGUUGACACAUAAAUGUUGCAACCAUAUUUGUGCCUUAAAUUCAAGUGCUGUUUCAUUUCUCUGCCUUUCAAUCCCAAUCGGAAUGUCAAGUUUAUUUGUAUAACAUUUAAGUAUAUUCAAUAAACUUACAAUGAUCUAAAUUGGGACACUUUUAUACUUAAGUAUAUUAAGAGGGGAGGGGGUAGAUCAGCCUUAAUAUUGCUGCAUCAUUACCAAUCCCUCCUAUAUAUUUGUGUCUGUAUAUAUGCAUCAUUUUUAUUUUUGUAAAUAUAUUUUCCUUUAUUUUCCCUGAACCCUACCACCCCUCCCUAAUUGGAGUAAACUAAUGGACAAAAACACUUAGGCUUCUACUUCCAGCUUAUACAUAUUCGAUGUACUUGUGCAUGUGACAUAAAUUGAAACUGUAUACAUUUUACAGACCGUAUAUUUUACAGUAGUUUUUUGUAUUUUUUAAUCCCAUCCUUCAGCGACCCUCAACCCCUCCCGUCUACUGUGUCUCUGAAGAGCAUCCAGUUUUAAUUUGUAUUUGCCAUAUUUUUGACUGUUACACAAAAGAUCUGAACCUGUAUACAUUUUACAGACCAGCAUGUCUUACAUGAGUUCUUGUUGUUAUUAACCCUUCAGCUCCACUCAACACCAUCUAUCUCUUAACACCAUCCAGUUUUGAUUUCUAUUUGCCAUAUAUUUUUCAACUGUGCUGUGACUUAAAUAUAUUUAGUAUAGUAUAUUAGAGCAAAAAAAUCUAUACUUCAAAUACAUUUUAUGUAUAUUUCUCAAAUUAUACUGAAUUAAAAUAUAAAUGCAACGAUUUCAAAGAUUUUACUGAGUUAUCGUUCAUAUAGGGAAAUCAGUCAAUUUAAAUGAAUUCAUUAGGCUCAAAUCUAUGGAUUUCCCAUGACUGGGAAUACAGAAAAGGCAAGGGGGUGGAUCAGAAAACCAGUCAGUAUCUGGUGUGACGGCCUCAUGGAGCACGACACUUCCUUUGCAUAGACAUGACCAUGCUGUUGAUUGUGGCCUGUGGAAUGUUGUCCAACUCCUCUUCAAUGGCUGUGCGAAUUUGCUGGAUAUUGGCGGGAACUGGAACACGCUGUCGUACACGUUAAUCUAGAACAUCCCAAACAUGCUCAAUGGGUGACAUGUCUGGUACCACUACUGGCUGGUGGCCAAAAACAGAUCCACAUUGGGCAAACAGCCAAUCCAAGGCAUCUAAUGUAGAUGGAGGUCUUGGAGCGGUGCCGGACACUAUCCAGCAGGGAAGAGCUCCGUAGUGCCUGACUCCUGAGAAUCACAUAGCCAGCUACUGUUCAUCUGCCUGUGACUGGAUGAAUGGCCCAUACAGGGAAGAGCUCCGUAGUGCCUGACUCCUGAGAAUCACAUAGCCAGCUACUGUUCAUCUGCCUGUGACUGGAUGAAUGGCCCAUACAGGGAAGAGCUCCGUAGUGCCUGACUCCUGAGAAUCACAUAGCCAGCUACUGUUCAUCUGCCUGUGACUGGAUGAAUGGCCCAUACAGGGAAGAGCUCCGUAGUGCCUGACUCCUGAGAAUCACAUAGCCAGCGACUGUUCAUCUGCCUGUGACUGGAUGAAUGGCCCAUACAUUCAGUGAGCUCUUGGAGCAAUAGGAAGGAUUGUGGUGAAUACUGUAGUUUCUAUGUGUCUAUGGCAACUGGAAGCUAUGUUUUUCUCUCUGGUUAUCAUUUAAUAGGUAAUUAUAGCACUUGGUAGAAACCGAAGUGGCUCUUUAGGUGCACUGACAAUUAGCAGUAAUGACGUCAUGUCUUGGUGCUGGUCACAACAAAUACAUGACUGUAUAUAAGAGCAGUCUUCCAUUGGUGAAUAUUUUAAGCUGUUCUAAAUGGGGACUUUGUCUCGGUUGAAUCUGAUCCCUUGUUUUGGGAAAUCACCAUGUCUGUUGUUAAUGUCUAAUUCAACAAUGUAAGUGUAUGACUACUGGGUGUACGGUAACAACCACACAUACUGAUUGACCUAUGAGGUACAGUGCCUUGCAAAAGUAUUCACCCCCUUGGCAUUUUACUAUUUUGUCAUUUAAAUCCAUUUUAUUUGGAUUUCAUGUAAUGGACAUACAAAAUAGUCCAAAUUGGUGAAGUGAAAUGAAAAAAAUAACUUGUUUCAAAAACAUUUAACGGAAAAGUGGUGCGUGCAUUUGUAUUCACACCCAUUUGCUAUGAAGCCCCUAAAUAAGAUCUGGUGCAACCAAUUACCUUCAGAAGUUACAUAAUUAGUUAAAUAAAGUCCACCAGUUUGCAAUCUAAGUGUCACAUGAACUCAGUAUAAAUACACCUGUUCUGAAAGGCCCCAGAGUCUGCAACACCACUAAGCAAGGGGCACCACAAAGCAAGCGGUACCAUGAAGACCAAGGAGCUCUCCAAACAGGUCAGGGACAAAGUUGUGAAGAAGUACAGAUCAGGGUAGGGUUAUAAAAAAAAUAUAGACAUUUUUAACAUCCCACGGAGCAGCAUUAAAUCCAAUAAUAAAAAAUGGAAAGAAUGUGGCUCCACAACAAACCUGCCAAGAGCCGGCCCCCCACCAAAACUCACAGACCAGGCAAGGAGGGCAUUAAUCAGAGAGGCAACAAAGAGACCAAAGAUAGCCCUGAAGGACCUGCAAAACUCCACAGCAGAGAUUGGAGUAUCUGUCCAUAAGACCACUUUAAUCCAUACACUCCACAGAGUUGGGCUUUAUGGAAGAGUGGCCAGAAAAAAAGCCAUUGCUUAAAGAAAAAAAUAAACAAACACGUUUGGUGUUCGCCAAAAGGCAUGUGGAAGACUCUCCAAACAUAUGGAAGAAGGUACUCUGGUUAGAUGAGACUAAAAUUGAGCUUUUUGGCCAUCAAGGAAAAUGCUAUAUCUGGUGCAAACCCAACACCUCUCAUCACCAUGAGAACACCAUCCCCACAGUGAAGCAUGGUGGUGGCAGAAUCAUGUUGUGGGUAUGUUUUUCCAUCGGCAGGGACUGGGAAACUGGUCACAAUUGAAGGAAUGAUGAAUGGCGCUAAAUACAGGGAAAUUCUUGAGGGAAACCUGUUUCAGUCCUCCAGAGAUUUGAGACUGGGACAGAGGUUCACCUUCCAGCAGGACAAUGACCCUAAGCAUACUGCGAGAGCAACACUUGAGUGGUUUAAUUGGAAACAUUUAAAUGUCUUGGAAUGGCCAAGUCAAAGCCCAGACUUCAAUCCAAUUGAGAAUCUGUGGUAUGAUUUAAAGAUUGCUCUACAUCAGCGGUACCCAUCCAACUUGAAGGAGCUGGAGCAGUUUUGCCUUGAAGAAUGGGCAAAAAUCCCAGUGGCUAGAUGUGCCAAGCUUAUAGAGACACCCUAAGAGACUUGCAGCUGUAAUUGCUGCAAAAGGUGGCUCUACAAUGUAUUGACUUUGGAGGGGUGAAUAGUUAUGCACGCUCAAGUUUACCAUUUUCUUUGUCUUAUUGCUUGUUUGUUUCACAAUAAAAAAUAUUUUGCAUCUUCAAAGUCGUAGGCAUGUUGUGUAAAUCAAAUGAUACAAAUCCCCCAAAAUCUAUUUUAAUUCCAGGUUGUAAGGCAACAAAAUAGGAAAAAUGCCAAGAGGGGUGAAUACUUUUGCAAGCCACUGUACAUAUUAAUUUGCACUAAUUACAGGUACUCACUCAAUCAUUGUCAAGACACCCCACAUGUUCGUUCACUGUUAUACCUAUUGGUCAUCUACAUGUCAUAGCAGUCCGGAAAUAGGUUAGGUUGGUUAGUAUGAUGACAGGCAGCCUUGCUAAAUGGUCUGUGGACAAGACAUCUUUUGCUCUCUAAGCUAUUCAUGGAUAUGGAAUUGAAUCAUA